rfam:Aureococcus anophagefferens strain CCMP 1984 chloroplast, complete genome.
GCGUCCUUAGUUCAGUUGGUAGAACGUCGGUUUCCAAAACCGAAUGUCGAGGGUUCAAGUCCUUCAGGACGCG